UACGUAGGGGGCAAGCGUUGUCCGGAAUCAUUGGGCGUAAAGCGCGCGUAGGCGGCCCGGUAAGUCCGUUGUAAAAGUCGAAGGCUCAACCUUCGAAAGCCGAUGGAUACUGCCGGGCUAGAGUCCGGAAGAGGCGAGUGGAAUUCCUGGUGUAGCGGUGGAAUGCGCAGAUAUCAGGAGGAACACCCAUAGCGAAGGCAGCUCGCUGGGACGGUACUGACGCUAAGGCGCGAAAGCGUGGGGAGCGAACAGG
rnacentral:rRNA from 1 species